rnacentral:rRNA from 1 species
UGGGGAAUUUUGGACAAUGGGGGCAACCCUGAUCCAGCAACGCCGCGUGAAGGAUGAAGGUCUUCGGAUCGUAAACUUCUUUUAUAGGGGAAGAAUGAGCUAUUGAAUAAAUAGCAGUGACGGUACCCUGUGAAUAAGCCACGGCUAACUUCGUGCCGGCAGCCGCGGUAAUACGAAGGUGGCAAGCGUUACUCGGAAUUACUAGGCGUAAAGCGUAGGUAGGUGGUUAGGUAAGUUUAUAAUGAAAUCUCCCGGCUUAACUGGGAGGGGUUUAUGAAUACUGCUUGACUAAGAGUGUGGGAGAGGGUACUGGAAUUCCAGGUGUAGCGAUGAAAUGCGUAGAUAUCUGGAGGAACACCAAUGGCGAAGGCAGGUCUCUGGGCCAAUACUGACACUGAGGAGCGAAAGUCUGGGGAGCGAACAGG